GGCGCUGGAUGAUGGUAGAGGGCGGCUCGGUAAUGCUGCUGCCCAGCACUGCAUGACACUCAACGGACAUGUUUACUUUCACGUCUUGUUCUUAUUGAGCAUUGGACAUGGUGUUUUUAAUGUGCGCUCCUCUCUGCAAACCCUGACGUUCAACCUACUGCGGGGGAAAGCCUGGCAGUAAGGGCUUAAUAAGGUGAGGACUCUCCAUCCAGCACCCAAAUCCCAAAACCUUCUCAUGUCCUGUUGAGGUGUUUUGGCUAAUGAGGAACCCAGAGAUGCCCAUUACAGCAUGAAAGAGCCCUGGGCAAGGCGUACGCCCGAAUUAAACCAAGCACACUUUCAUUAUUGCAUAUCGCUCUUUUGGAGGAUGAUUGCAGCUUGCUGAUUUUCCCCACCACACUGCACCGUUGUCCCAGGUCUUCCGGUGUCUAGUGGAAGAGAGGACUUGAGAUGGCAAGGGGUCCCGUUUAAAGAAACUCCUGGAUUGUAGAAUAAGAGGUUGCAUGCUACACAGCCCACUGCCACCAAUGGAUGCCAAGUUGCGAGAAGAUCUAUUCUGCAGGUAUGUGGCGUCUUUGGAGAAUCGGCUUGAGAAGGGAGCCGGUGAAGGAGGAGGAGGAGCCAAGACCGAGGAGGCACUGAUUUCUACUGCAACAGCACUGCUUGGCUCAUACCAGCCCGAUCCAGGGCAGCGCUUUCGCAUGGUUCGAUUCUAUGAAAUGGCUGAGAACUCCCUGAGGACUCAGAGAAGCGCAAACUUGCGGACAUUGGAGAUGGCCUUUGCGACGCUGGAAACCAUCUGUUCCAACUUGCUGCUCUUUCCUUGGAAGAAAGAGUUCCGUUGCAUAAAGACGUUCACGGGGCCGUAUGUGUACCAACUGCAGUCAGUGAUAUGCGACGCCGACUUGCGUUCGCUGCUGCGUACCAUGGGCUAUUCAAGAGACCAGGAAUUGCAGUACCACGUUAGGGACCAUCCUGGUGGAGCCUCCCACCUCCGGCAGCUCGCCUUCGAACUGCUUCUCGCCCAGGCUGAAUGCCGUCUGCUCGGCGAGGUGGUGUCCAUGUCUCGGGGCUUUGCCUCGGAGCUGGAGGCCAUGGAGGUGAGGAGGAACACCAGAGAAGAUGCGGCAGGGUGCGCCGACGCCCUCCGCCGACGAGACAGCCUUACAGGAGACUUGUCCCGCCUGUCGGUGCGGCCGGUGGAUAUCGACCGCACUCACCUAAGGCGAAGCGGCCGGCCGUCCAAGUCGGUGGAUGUAACAGACAGCGCAGGACAUUGGCACCAAGCCAGCAAGCCAGUGCUAAAGGCCUCGCUCAGCCUGCGCAAAGAGCCACUGUUCGUCGACACGGAAGAAGACUUGAAGGAUGAAAUCAUCCGACCGAGCCCUUCUCUUUACCCUGUGGCGGCGCCGCCCUCUUACAGCCCAGUGGCUGACUUCUUCCCGAUUCAGUCGCCCCCGUCUGAGCCAUACUCCUACCACUUGUCCUCCCUGGAUGAGGUGGACUUGUACACUGAACGGGGUUUGGGUGGCCACCAGACGCCCUCUAGGCCACAGAGCCGGGAGCCUCGAGAGUCCCGGGACAGUUGGGUUCUGAAGGGACAUGUGAUGAAGUGCCAGGGCUGCGGCAUGGGCUGUCCUUCACUUUCCUCUUGCCAGAGGUGCGACAUGAUCUUGUGUUCGUCCUGCCAUGCAGUGGAACCGGCGCCUUGUUGCGGCUUCCAGGAUUACACUAAAACUUCCCGCCCUUUGGAUGGCUACAUGCCCAUCAAGGAGAAGUUGUCGGUCUACUCCAACGCUCACUCGCACACUCACCCUCACCCGUUUCCCCACGCUCAGUCCCACUCGCUGUUGCUGGACAAAGCUGUGAUGAGCACCAAGCUGUUUCCCAGUAAACCCGUGGGUUCGGGCAGCAGUCCGGUGGUCAGCUCCAUCAGCAGUGGGGGUGAGCGGCUGAGUGUGGGCGGCUCCCGCUGUGGCUUUUGCAACAAGCCAGGGGCCUCUCACACCUGUGUGAACUGCUCCAAGGUGUCAUGUGAGAUGUGCAUGAGCCUUUACGGCAGUGAUGUGUGCACCCGCAAAAAUCCUCAUCAUAACUUUGUGCCCAAUCAUCAGCUCAAUUUCAAGUCCAGCACCAUAUCCCACCUCGUGUAUCGAUAGACCAGGAACACAGCUGUGCACUACACCUCUGUUGAUCUUUUUAUCUCUGCUUUUUCCACCCUUGUUUUUUUUUUGUUUUUUUUUAACUCUUCCUGCUUCCUUUCUCAGUUGGCAGUUGUUUGGUUUUGGUCAUGUGAUCUUGCAGUGCAUUUCCUGUCCCUCAGUAGUUCUACGUUAUCAAGGAAAACAAAAAAAGUCGUUUGACCGGAGAAUUCCAUUCAGUAUCAAUGCUUGUUAACUUGAAAAGUAACCAUGCAGCGCAUAGAAACUGUGAAUGUUUAGCAGAGACUUCAAACCCUGCAAUUGAAUCGAAACAAAGGCAGUAUAUCAUUCUGUCUACAUCUCCUUAAUUUCAGAGACUUUUGAACCUGCUCUCCCUGCUGCCUUGGGUAACCUUUCCAGUCACCUGAAGGCUGCACUUAAUGCAGGACUCGAUGCUUAAUGUCUGUACGCAGCAUAAAGCGAGGGCCAAAACAUCUGUCAGGGAAACAGAAACUAGCACAAGACAUAAAGAUGGCAUGUUCUUACGAAGUAACGUCAGUACGUGUUUUUGAUUUAGUGGAAUGAGUGUUAAUGGUACUAAACAGCAGCCAGGAAUAAUCUGAUUGGAUUUUACACUCAUGUGACAGCAUGGUUAACCAAUCAAACUGUAAUGUGCCAAACACCCUCAGGCUGUGAAGACAGAACCUGCUCAUCUCUGCGUGGUAACUGAGCCAUUUCAAAGUGUUUUAACCCCGAGUGAUGGAUAACCUGUGU